CAGAGAAAUGGCAUGUUCGUGAUCUAAAAAGAAAAAGAAUCUAUCGUGAUACAUCUUCCAAAAAGGAUAAUAAUUCAAUAAAGAACAAGAAAAAAAAUUUUUUUGUUCAUUUGUAUAAAAGAUUUUUGACGUUUGAAGUGAGAUAGAUAUGUAUAUUUAGAGAGAGGAGAAAUAAAGAGCCAAAGUGUAGAAAGUGCAAGCAAAAUGAGCAAAUGUAAUUACACUGUAGUAUCUUCCGGUUCUCAUCGUUCAAAAUGACGAUAUCAAUCAUAAACAUGAAAGGAAAAAGUGCGACAAACGGAACCAAAGUCCCAAGAUGUAUAUUUCUGAUCGAGCUAUACAGGUAAAGAGGAAAAAAUUCGAAGUUUAAUUACAUAACUUUGAAAUGGUUCUUUACGAACAAAAUUUAUGGACUAUCUAUUUUACUUAUUGAUGAAGGAACCUAGAAGAAAAGACUGUAUUAAUUGCAAAAAUUGUUGAUAUUAUCACUGGCGACAUUAAUAUCUCUGGGAGCUUAAUAUUGAUAGUUACGUUGCUGCCGUAUCGUCUUGAUGCUCUUCCAAUUCCUCGAGUUUUUCUUCGUCGUCCGAUUGUGUUUCCUCUACGGCUGUAACAUCCGGGAAAUAUAAUUUGGACUCUUCGAUAGCUUUCUCUGGAUUUUCACUCACAUGAUAAGGUCCAAUUCCGGCAAAGCCCAAAAAUGCUUCGCAACCUACUUUCUUCACUGUGCAGACGAAUACCUCGUAACUGAAUAAAAGAUGGAAUAAUUUAAUAACCAGGAUGCUCACCAUGCCUGUACAAGGACCACUCCAAUCCGAGUACACGUCCACUACUAAAUAAAGAUGACGCUCCCGAUUUUCUCUAUACCCUUUUAUAACGCAACAUCUUCGAAACUGGAAGGAUGUUAAUCUCACGGAUCGCGAUUAUGAAAUAACUAGUUUUUUUCGCCGAAGAUGUGAGCUUCAAUAUCGGAUCGAUUGAUCUACGACAAAGUGGAGAGAAGUACUGCAUUAAUCGUGUAUUUUCUGCUCGUUUACAUAGGCUCGGCUACACGGGGACAUCGGCGACAUGGUAGGCACGCGAUAUAAUAUAAUGAUUAACGAGCUCGUGAUACAAAUACAUGCAGAGGUAAUUACGGUGCAGAAAAUCGAGGGUUCUGCUAGCAGGGUUCUGCAAAUUCUCCUAUAUAAUAGCCUGUCUCAAGACAUUAACUCGGAUAUGUCUUUAAAAAGAAACCUCUUUCUUAACAAAGGAGCGAUAGCAACGUCUAGAAUUGAAAGCCAUUUGGUUUAAUAUUAUCUCUCUGCUGUUUUUUUAUAUAAAAAUGAUAGCAGAU